rnacentral:rRNA from 1 species
GACGAACGCUGGCGGCGUGCUUAAUACAUGCAAGUCGAGCGGGGUCCAACCAGUGGCAACACUGGGGAAGACCUAGCGGCGAACGGGUGAGUAACACGUGAGGAACCCGCCCCAGAGACCGGGAUAACUCUCCGAAAGGAGAGCUAAUACCGGAUACACCCACCGGACGGCAUCGUCUGGUGAGGAAAUGGAUUCCGCUCUGGGAGGGCCUCGCGGCCUAUCAGCUUGUUAGUGAGGUAACGGCUCACCAAGGCGACGAUGCGUAGCCGACCUGAGAGGGUGAUCGGCCACAUUGGGACUGAGACACGGCCCAGACUCCUACGGGAGGCAGCAGUGGGGAAUAUUGCACAAUGGGGGAAACCCUGAUGCAGCAACGCCGCGUGAGUGAUGACGGCCUUCGGGUUGUAAAGCUCUGUCUUCAGGGACGAUAAUGACGGUACCUGAGGAGGAAGCCACGGCUAACUACGUGCCAGCAGCCGCGGUAAGAC